UGAUAACGAGUGAACUGAAUUUUACUCUUUUCUAGUCUGUGGAAAAGUUCCAAAGAAGCAAUCGAUAACAGCAAUUUAAUGCCUAGACUUUCUUUAUCUGUGGCCAGUGUCAACUUUGGAGAUGGACUCCGCAAAGGUUGUUCACAACUCAAGGAUUGUUGAUCAGGUCUUCACAAUUGGCCAGAAUAGGCGUUGUCAGGUGGCAUACUUGGGACCCCUGUGGCAUGCAAAAAAAACGAUGAGGGCUGUCAAGUUGCCUUCAUCAAUUUCCGAAGCUAUCGUCAUCCAUCAUUCAAAGGGCCGGUUUUUUGAAAAAUGGCUCGUUGAACCCUACAAAUUUGGCAGAGGACUCGAGUCUUCUAAUCGAGUCAUCUCGAGCAAAAACACUCGUCUUGCGAAAUUCUAAGACACAAUGAAACGUUUUUUUCUUGACGAGUCUGGACUUAAGUCCUUUCUAAAAGACUCAAGUUGGGCAACUCCUCCAAAAUUGACCAAAAGAUUAAAGUAGGCUCGCCCCAGGAUUAAUUAGACCUUUGCCAUUGACGCAUUUGACAAAAUGGAGAGCGGGCUUCCUGCUUUCUUUUUGACUUCCUUCCUUUUUGAAAGCCCUGCCUUUCUUGCCUCUUUGGAUUUAAUCUGCCACUUUGACUCUUAGAUGGUUGGACAACAUCAUCAUCCGAGAAACGCCAUCACGGCUAGAUUUUCGUGAUUUCUUUUCACCUUGAAGAUGCUAACUUUGCAUGUUUUUCCAGUCUGGCAUGUUUUCUGACAUGUUCUGAGAGUCUACCAGCAAGGGUUUUAAAACUUGACAAGCCUGUUGCGAAAUCAACAGUUGGACAUUCCCUUCUUGUUCCCUUGACCAUCGAUUUCUAGACGCUGGAUGUCGGACGACCGACCACUUGGUUGGCUAAAAAGUACAAUAAACCGGUUUGUAAUCAAUUCCCAGGAGACCAUCCAUUGUACUGUUUUACCAGCCGAGUGGUCGGUCGUCCGACAUCCAGUGUCUAGAAAUCUAUGCCUUGACAUGCUUGAUAGAACUACAAUAUUUGUGACAAAAUGCAUUUUCCUUUUCAAUGACAUUUUUAUUCCAUUACUGAAAUAAUUUGCAUUUUUUUUGCAAAACUCGACAUUAUUUGAUUACUACUCAAUCUUGCCAUUUCAUGGCGUUUAUGCGGCAAAAUGAUUUUUUGACAGAUGUCCUUAAGUCCAUUGGGUAUAGUGGAUAAAUAUGGAUAGAAUUAGCCAAAAACAACGCAAACGCAUUAUAAUUCAAUGAAGAGAAAUCGGCCCAUUGGCCCUUUAUUUGCACCCUCUGAAGUGCACAACGUAAACCAUACUUCGUCCAGACCAUGGUCGUCACUCUCUUUGCAUGAAGCUUUUUAUUCAAAUUUGGAUUGUUCAAAGUCGACUUGGUCAACAUCUUAAAGUCGUUUGGCUUUCAAUGCCUUCUUUUUACAAGGGAAGCACUCUCUCUUUGUGGCCAUUAGUGAUGGGAUCAAAAAAAUUUCAAGAUCAGGAUUGCCAGAAAGCUAAGAAAAUCAAAGCACCAUCCCGUCCAUCGUAAGGUAAAAGGUUAGCUUUGACCAAAAGGCAACCCUGGUUUGAGCGAAGAAAAAUCAGGGUUACUAUUUGUGACUAACCAACGGGUUUCCGAUGUUCCGUUAGUGAACAGGGAAAAAACAGACGCUCUAAACACAAAUAGUGAGAGGUAAGUAAUGAAAAUUUCACAGAUGAAAGUACACUUAGUGGACCAUAUUGAACAAUUCCUUUUUCAGCUAUGGUUGUCAAAAAUGUGUGGUCGUCGAUACUAGAAAGCAAGGACGACGUCACCACUGGAUAGAGACGAUGGGGUGGUGGACACGUGACCUUUAUUCAAAUGCAGCGAAUGCAUUUUCCCUCCCAAAAGUUGGGCUCUGUUGACUCAGAAAGUGUUGGCCAAUUUUUUAUCUCAAUCAAACGUCUGUGUCAAAGGCAACAUGUUCUUGCAACUCAGUGGGUACAUGGGUACAAAAUGGUAAGUUCUUGCCAUCAUGGUGCUACCUCAUUCCAUUUGUGCCUUCCCUGGCCUGAGUUUGAAAUGCUCACAUAUUUUGACACCGAUGUUCGAUUGAGAGCAAAACUGGCCAACGCCUUCUGAGUCUACAACUGAGUCAACGCGUGUGAAGGGAAAUGCAUUUCAUUGAUUUGAUUUGGAAUUACUCACUUUUCCCCACUACCAUUGCUCUCCAGGGGUGAUAUCUUCCCUGUCCGAGGGGAUGUUUGGCCAAAGAAACAAGUCUCAGACGCCGGUUCUUCGAAUAGCGUCAAGUUCAUGAUGCACUAAUCUACGUACUGGUUCAGCAAAAGUUGCCACUGAUUUAGUUCACGAACCUUUUCGCUCUCUUGGAAUGUCGCCAAAAGCGUGCGUGAUAAGAGGAGAACUAGGCACUGAACUGCUCUAUUAAUAACUGUAAUUCAACUUUCCUGCCAAACUUGUUCUGAGAAAAACGAUUUGGCAAGAUCCCCGAAACGAGGCCCCUUUUUCCUUCACCUCGUGUUUUUAAGGAAUCGAAAUGUAACUACAAAACGGCCAUUUCGUUCAAGGGUUUUCCGCGUUUGUUGCAAAAAGAGGCAAUUGUGGGUCUCUUUUUGACUCAAAGAAUGCCAGUCCAGGGUCUUCGUGAGCUCAUCGUGUCGUCAUUUUGAAUCGACUUCUCUUGGUAAAGAAAUUCAAAAUUUCGAGAAGAGGAGCGCCAACCUUCACCACCUUGAUCAACAAUUUUUGGCUAAUUGUUGAAAGGAUGCGAAUUCUGGUUCACUUUUGUCAUCCCCCUCAAAAGGUUCGCAAUUGCUGGAGAAGAAGCAACGACACGGAACAUUGUUGGCGAGAAUUUUAAUUUACAACCAACUCGACAUGACAACGUCUCCAAGCAACAAAUGAAAACUUACUCGGUUACUCCGUGGUAUGAAAUCCAAUGGAGAGAAAGCUUUCACUUCCAACGUCAAGAAGCUUUUAGGAUGACGUCUUCAAAGAUAGGAGGAGGAGCCCAAAUGAACCCGAUGAAGCAAUAAAAAACGGCAUUGUAACGGUGGUAGGCGUGUGUGUAUGUCGUUUAAAUGAAAUCUCUUCCAAAAAUCUGGCUGUUUCUUGCAAUAUCUCUUAAGGCUGUAGUUUCUAACUUUAAUCCCUUUGAGGUAAGUCUAUAAAGGAACAAAACUAAUAGAUGUAAAGGCUUUAUUUGCUACAUACCACUUUCAGAUUUCUGAUAGACGUCACCAAGCUGAGUCGUAUGUAAACUCACUUAAGAAAUGUCAAUUUACUUAAAAUGUAAGUAAUUGACAAUGAGACACUGGAGCCUAAAAAACUCGUGAGAUAACCUUUUUCCAACCUUUUGACUACUUUUGGGACCAAAGUUCAUCAGUUUCAUCUUUAAAUCUUAUCUUCAGAGUUGUAUAGAUGAACAUGCCAAAGGAUGGUUUACGAAAACUACCUUAUGCUUUUAAUUUUUUAGAUCGAAUUUUUAUAGGAGUCUUUUCGAAGGCAUUUAUGAGUUUUAUUUUUACGUUUCUAGAAAAAAAAGCGUUGAUUUAGAUUUGACACAAGCUACCCUACAUAACACUCAAUCGUGAGAAAGAAAGACUAAAUCGCCCCCAAUGUAAUUAGAAGGAUUAUAAGUGUUAACUAUAUC